CGCGGCCUAUCAGCUUGUUGGUGGGGUAAUGGCCUACCAAGGCGACGACGGGUAGCCGGCCUGAGAGGGUGACCGGCCACACUGGGACUGAGACACGGCCCAGACUCCUACGGGAGGCAGCAGUGGGGAAUAUUGCACAAUGGGCGAAAGCCUGAUGCAGCGACGCCGCGUGAGGGAUGACGGCCUUCGGGUUGUAAACCUCUUUCAGCUCUGAAGAAGCGAAAGUGACGGUAGGAGCAGAAGAAGCACCGGCUAACUACGUGCCAGCAGCCGCGGUAAUACGUAGGGUGCGAGCGUUGUCCGGAAUUAUUGGGCGUAAAGAGCUUGUAGGCGGUCUGUCGCGUCUGCUGUGAAAACUCGGGGCUUAACCCCGAGCCUGCAGUGGGUACGGGCAGACUAGAGUGUGGUAGGGGAGACUGGAAUCCCUGGUGUAGCGGUGGAAUGCGCAGAUAUCAGGAGGAACACCGAUGGCGAAGGCAGGUCUCUGGGCCAUAACUGACGCUGAGAAGCGAAAGCGUGGGGAGCGAACAGGAUUAGAUACCCUGGUAGUCCACGCCGUAAACGUUGGGCGCUAGGUGUGGGGCUCAUUCCACGAGUUCCGUGCCGCAGCUAACGCAUUAAGCGCCCCGCCUGGGGAGUACGG
rnacentral:rRNA from 1 species